UAAGGAAUAUUGGUCAAUGGACGCAAGUCUGAACCAGCCAUGCCGCGUGGAGGAUGACGGUCCUCUGGAUUGUAAACUUCUUUUAUUUGGGAAGAAAACCUCUGAUUAUUCGGAGCUUGACGGUACCAGAUGAAUAAGCACCGGCUAACUCCGUGCCAGCAGCCGCGGUAAUACGGAGGGUGCAAGCGUUAUCCGGAUUCACUGGGUUUAAAGGGUGCGUAGGCGGAUAGGUAAGUCCGUGGUGAAAUCUCUCGGCUUAAUCGGGAAACUGCCAUGGAUACUAUUUAUCUUGAAUGUUGUGGAGGUUAACGGAAUAUGUCAUGUAGCGGUGAAAUGCUUAGAUAUGACAUGGAACACCAAUUGCGAAGGCAGUUAACUACACAAAUAUUGACGCUGAUGCACGAAAGCGUGGGGAUCAAACA
rnacentral:rRNA from 1 species